rnacentral:lncRNA from 1 species
UAUAGCUCAAAAAAGUGAUUAUGAAAAAAUCAAUGUAAUUCAUCAUAUUCAGAAAAUAAAGGAGUAAAGCCAAGUGAUUAUCUCAAUAGCUGUGGACAAAUUAAUUGACGAAAUUUAAUGUUCCUUCCAAAAAAAUCUUUUAACAAAGUGGAAAUUAGAGGGAAUUUCUUUUAUGUGGUAAUGUGCACAUCAAAAACAAAACUUCAGUUAGCGGCACACUGAACACUUUUCUCCGAAGAUCAGGAACUGGAAAAUGAUGUCCAUUGUCUGUACAUGUACUCCACAUUUUACUGGAGCUGGGCUGCUCCUCUGACUCUGAGCAGGUUCUUCCCUCCGGUGACCCCGGGGAAGUAGCUGCAGGAUGCUUGGACACUGAUCGCAGAAGCUACUGUCCCCGGGCCAGGCGCUGCAGGGUCGAGCAGCCGCAGACCCAAAGAGUCCCUACAUUGUGGGGGGCACAUAUGAGGGAAGAUUAGCCCUGAGCUAACGUCUGCUGCCAAUCUUCCUCUUUUUGCUGAGGAAGACCGGCUCUGAGCUAACAUCCGUGCCCAUCUUCCUCAACUUUAUAUGUGGGAUGCCUACAACAGCAUGGCUCACCAAGUGGUGCCAUGUCCGCACCCGGGAUCCAAACCAGCGAACCCCAGGCCGUCAGAGCAGAAUAUGCACACUUAACUGCUGCACCACCAGGCGGGCCCCUCAAGUGUUUUUUUGACAAAGUUGUCAAGACAAUUCAAUGAUCUUGGGGUAGGGAAAAAUAAUUAGAUGGAAA